rnacentral:lncRNA from 1 species
CAAAGCCCAAAAUAUUUACUGUCCAUUUAUGUAUUUAUUUAUUUCUGAGAUGGAGUCUCCAUCUGUUGCCCAGGCUGGAGUGCAGUGGCACGAGCUCUGCUCACUGUAGCCUCUGCCUCCCAGGUUCAAGCGAUUCUCCUGCCUCAGCCUCCUGAGUAGCUGGGACUACAGAUGGACACCACCACAUCCAGCUAAUUUUUUUUUUUUUUUAGAGAUGGGGUCUCGCUAUGUUGCCCAGGGUAGUCUCAAACUCCUGGCCUCAAGUGAUCCUCCCACCUCAACCUCCUGAAGCACUGGGAUUACAGGUGUGAGCCACCAUGUCAGCCACGAGCAUUUUUUAAAUGGCUGGGGGAGGGGGAACAAUAUUUCCUAACACAGAAAAUUCAAAUUCCAGUUUGUAAAGCUGAAUUGGCACACAGCCAUGCCCCUCAUUUACAUAUUGUCCGAGGCUGCUUUUGCACUGCAGUGGCAGAAUUGAGUCGUUGCAUCGGAGACCACGUGGUCCACACAGCCUAAAAUAUUUACGAUCUGGCCCUUUACAGAGAAAAGUUACCAACCUCUCCCUAGUCUAGAAUGAAGGGUAAAUUGCUCCCCAUUCAUGUUCCCUCAGGUACUCAGUUCCCCUCCUUAGAGGCCAUCAUUUUGACAAGACACUUGCAAUGCCUUAUGUAGGCAGAGGGGUAUGUCUGCCCCACUCCUUUUCACACAAUAUGUAGGAUAUUAUGCACACAGUUCUGCACCUUGCCUUUUUUCACUUAAUAUAUUUUGGAGAUAGUGUUAUCAUUAAUGUUCACAAACCAUUAUUAUUUUUUACAGCUGCAUAGUGUUCCACCUUCAGGAUGGAAUGGACUUGACUUUUUUUUUUUUUUUUUUUUGAGACAAAGUCUUGCUCUAUUACCUGGGCUAGAGUGCAGUGGUGCAAUCCCAGCUCACUACAGCCUCUGCCUCCUGGGCUCAAGCUAUCCUCUCUCAGCCUCCCAUCCCAAGUAGUUGGGACUACAGGUGCAUGCCACCAUGCUGAGCUAAUUUUUUUUUAUUAUUUUUAGAGACGGGGGUCUUGCUUUGUUGCCCAGACUCGUCUCAAACUCCUGUGCUCAAGCAAUCCUCCUGCCUCAGACUCCCAAACUGCUGGGAUUACAGGCUUGAACCACGAGUGUGUUUUAAAUUUUGAUAGUGCAUACCAAAUUGUCUUCCAGAGGCCAUGCCGGUUUAAGUUCACAAGUUUUCAGAGUCCCUGUUUCCUCACACCCUUGCCAACACAGCGUGUUAUCAAAUGUUUUGUUCUUUGCCAAUCUGAUAGGUGGUUUUAAUUUGCAUUCCUCUUACUGUAUUUCAUUGAUUCUAAGAUGUCACUGAUUCUAAGAUGCAUCCUGAUUUCAGAAGUUCACAUGUAAAAAUGUGGCUGGGUGUGGUAGCUCACGCCUGUAAUCCCAGCACUUUGGGCGGAUCACGAGGUCAGGAAUUCAAGACCAGCCUGGCCAACAUAGUGAAACCCCGUCUCUACCAAAAAUACAAAAGAAAUAAUUAGCUGGGUGUGGUGGCGGGUGCCUGUAAUCCCAGCUACUUGGGAGGCUGAGGCAGGAGAAUUGCUUGAACCCAGGAGGCGGAGGUUGCAGUGAACUGAGAUCGCGCCACUGAACUCCAGCCUGGGCGACACAGCGAGACUCUGUCUCAAAAAAAAAACAAAAAAAAAGUAAAAACGUAUAGCUUCAAAUCACUGAAAUACAAUAUGUUUUGUGAGAUUGGGUAUCUUACUGUGAGUUUAAAAUGCAUUUGCAUUUCCUCAUCUGUUCAUGUCCUUUUCCUAUUUUUCUUGGAAGGGAGGGUAGCAUUGGUUAAGAGUGUAGGGUUCAAAUCCCAGUUCUGCCACUUACAAGCUUGUGACUUUGGGCAAGUUACUUAACCGUUCUGUGUCUCAGUUUCCUCACCUGCAAAAUGGGAAUAAUAAUGGUACCUACCUCAUAGGAUAGGUGUGAAGAUUAAAUACAUUAUUAUAUGCAAAAUACCAUGUUCCUGGAAUAUGGCAAAUGCUCAAUAAAUAUUUGCUGUAACUGUCAU